AUGACGAGCCUGAUAUCCCAGAACGCGCUCCCGAAGCGCCGGCUGGAGAAGGACGACAGCAGCAGCAGCGAUGAAGAGACCAUGGAUUCCCCCGUCGCCUCGGAUGCAGAGGCUGGGAAGAAGCCCAGGCCGGAGGAUCGCAGGAAGGACCGGAGGAAGAAGAAGAAGGCGCUGGAGGCCAGGCAGGGCCAGGAGGCCGAUGAGAUGAGGCGGCUGGAGAGCUCUCUGUUCGGCAACAUCUACACCCCGCUCGAGUUCGGCACCGAGGCUGUGCCGGCUCGUGGCCAGGAUGAUGCUAAGUUGUUCUUCGUGGACCGGUCUGCCGACGACGACCUGCCUGUUUAUGAGGAGGACCUGGGCAGUGAGGAUGAGGUGCUUGAUAAGGGGAGGAAGCCCGCCUGGGUGGAUGAGGAGGAGGAUAGCACCCAGGUGGACAUCCUCAAGGUUGCGAGGCUGAGGAAGCUGAGGAAGGAGGCUGAUGAGCGCGUGAUCUCGGGCAAGGAGUAUGAGGCUAGGCUGCGCGGUCACCACGCCAAGCUGAACCCUUUCACUGGCUGGGCGGAUAUGGACCGUAAGGCUCCUCUCCGUGAUGGUGACUCCGAUGAGGAAGAAGGUGGAGUCGACAAUAUGCUUCGGAACAAUGAUGAGCUUGUCGUCAAGGGUACUGCUAAGCUCCUGCCUGGCAUGCUGGACUACUCGAGGCUUGUUGAUGCGAAUGCCCAGGAUCCUUCCAGUGGUCCUAUCAAUUCAGUGCAGUUUCAUAGGAAUGGUCAGCUGAUGCUUGUUGCUGGCCUGGACAAACAUCUGAGGUUUUUCCAGAUUGAUGGCAAGAGAAACCCCAAGAUCCAGAGCAUAUUUGUCGAGGACUGUCCAAUUCAGAAGGCAACCUUUCUACCUGAUGGCUCUGAGGUGAUCCUUUCCGGCAGGAGGAAGUUCUUCUACUCAUUUGAUCUGGUGAAAGCUGCUGUUAGUAAGAUUGGACCCUUGACUGGGCGUGAAGAGAAAAGCCUGGAGAGCUUUGAGAUAUCACCUGAUUCGAGAACCAUUGCGUUUAUCGGUAACGAGGGGUACAUCCUCCUGAUAUCUUCCAAAACCAAGCAGCUCAUUGGAACCCUCAAGAUGAAUGGUAACGUGCGUUCGCUGGCCUUUGCGGAUGGUGGGAACCAGCUACUGAGCAGCGGCGGGGAUGGCCAUGUUUACCACUGGGAUCUCAGAACAAGGAAGUGUAUGCACAAGUCUGUCGACGAGGGCUCCCUGUCAGGCCUUUCCCUCUGCACCUCGCAGGACAGCUCUUACUUCGCCACAGGCUCCAGCAGCGGCAUCGUGAACGUGUACAAGAGGGACGAGUUCCUCGGGGGGAAGAGGAAGCCGCUGAAGACGAUCGAGAACCUCACGACCGAGACGGGCCAGAUGAAGUUCAACCAUGACGCCCAGAUCCUGGCGAUAAGCUCGGGCAAGGAUAGGAAUGGGAUGAGGCUCGUACACGUCCCAUCCUUCACCGUGUACCAAAACUGGCCAGGGCCACGGUUCAGCCUUCAGUACCCGAGGUGCCUGGACUUCAGCCCUGGGAGCGGGUUCCUCUCCGUCGGGCACGCCGGCGGAAAAGUUUUGCUCUACAAGCUGCACCACUAUCAGAACGCUUAG
rnacentral:rRNA from 1 species